AAUAAACGCUGGCGGCGUGCCUAACACAUGCAAGUCGAGCGGGCACCGCAAGGUGUCAGCGGCGCACGGGUGCGUAACACGUGGGUAAUCUGCCUCGGAGAUCGGGAUAACUCGCCGAAAGGCGAGCUAAUACUGGAUAAGCUCACGAGCCCCUCGGGGCUCGUGAGAAAAGGUCGCAAGACGCUUCGAGAUGAGCCCGCGGCCCAUCAGCUAGUUGGCGGGGUAACGGCCCACCAAGGCAACGACGGGUAGCUGGUCUGAGAGGACGACCAGCAACACUGGAACUGGGACACGGUCCAGACUCCUACGGGAGGCAGCAGUGGGGAAUCUUGCGCAAUGGGCGAAAGCCUGACGCAGCGACGCCGCGUGUGGGAUGAAGGUUUUCGGAUCGUAAACCACUGUCGCCCGGGACAAAUCAAUGAUGGUACCGGGAGAGGAAGCACCGGCUAACUCUGUGCCAGCCGCCGCAGUAAUAC
rnacentral:rRNA from 1 species